UAGGGAAUCUUCCGCAAUGGACGAAAGUCUGACGGAGCAACGCCGCGUGAGUGAAGAAGGUUUUCGGAUCGUAAAACUCUGUUGUGAGGGAAGAACAAGUACCAACUAACUACUGGUACCUUGACGGUACCUCACCAGAAAGCCACGGCUAACUACGUGCCAGCAGCCGCGGUAAUACGUAGGUGGCAAGCGUUGUCCGGAAUUAUUGGGCGUAAAGCGCGCGCAGGCGGUCCUUUAAGUCUGAUGUGAAAGCCCACGGCUCAACCGUGGAGGGUCAUUGGAAACUGGGGGACUUGAGUGCAGAAGAGGAAAGUGGAAUUCCACGUGUAGCGGUGAAAUGCGUAGAGAUGUGGAGGAACACCAGUGGCGAAGGCGACUUUCUGGUCUGUAACUGACGCUGAGGCGCGAAAGCGUGGGGAGCAAACAG
rnacentral:rRNA from 1 species